rnacentral:rRNA from 1 species
CAGGCUGCAACUCGCCUGCACGAAGUCGGAAUUGCUAGUAAUCGUAGGUCAGCAUACUACGGUGAAUACGUUCCCGGGCCUUAUACACACCGCCCGUCAAACCAUGAGAGUUGGCAACACCCGAAGUCGGUAGUCUAACCGCAAGGAGGACGCCGCCGAAGGUGGGGGUUGAUGAUUAGGGUUAAGUCGUAACAAGGUAAC